rnacentral:sRNA from 1 species
UUGUCGGCGCGGCAAAUCCACACAUACACCGGCACUCGCGGCCGGGUGCCCCAGCGGCUUGCCGCCGGGGGUCGUCGCGAGAGGGUGUAUGGAGGCGUAAC